rnacentral:lncRNA from 1 species
GGGAAGGGGAAGGUGCCUUUCCGCAUUUGGUGUAGUCCCGCAUUCUGCCAUAUGAUGGCGCCAGAGAACGCGCCUACCGGGAUAGGGAGGGGCAAGGAGGCGAGGAAGGAAAAAAAAGAGACAAGUGAAGAUUGACAUCCAUUAAGGCCAAUGGUAGCUCAAUCUUCUGUUCUCUGACUCCCAAGCUUCCCAUUCUCUUAGGAGGCUGCAUUUGUGGCGCUAAAAAAAGGGAUGGGCGUGGGAGAUUCCAGGACUUGUGCUCGCUGAAGAUACAACUGUUAGUCCAAGGGGUGACCCUGGAGAUCAUUACCAAAAUUUAAAAAUUUCACCACUGGGCACACAUGUUACCCUUCUCGUGAUGGCAUGGCAAAGCUUGAUUUGCAAGAGUUUCUUUUGGAUUGUCCCCAAUGAUUCCCUUUAAAAAUAGGAGCUCCUUCAAGCUCCUGUAUCAGCAGUGCUUGCACCUCAUAGGUGAUGAUCAUGAGGGGGACAAGGAGCCUCUAGACUUAAGAGACAAGUUGCCAGCAUUCUCCAGAUGGAGUGUUUCCCUCCGCAGCACCCCCUGCUGGUCAGUUUGACAAGCAGGUGAACAGAAGUUCUCAAAUACACAAUAGUAGAUUCUAUCAAUCAAGUUUCAUAAAGAGUUCUGAUUCCCAGAGGACUUAUGGAGCAAGGAUGACUGACACAAACACAAAAAUCAUUCUGCCUGUUGAAUGAAUCAUAAAAUACUGUCUUUGAUCCAGGAGGCUUGUGUCAUCUGCCAGCAUUUAUGAAACUGUGCUCCAAGUAGGCUCCUGUAUCAGCAGUGCUUGCCCCUGAUAGAUGAUGAUCAUGGGGGGACCAGGAGCCUCUAGACUUAGAGAACUUUCCCCACCCUCCCUGUGGAGUGUUUCCCUCCCCAGCACCCCCUGCUGGUCAGUUUGACAAACAGAUGAACAGAAGUUCUCAAAUACACAGUAAGCAGAUAACCCCAACAUCACCAGAAAUAUCAACUUGUGAUGGCAUUUUGUCAAGUUGUCUUUGUUAUCGGCAUCAUCUGUUGCUUUCUGAGGGAAGUAUUUUGAGUUCUCCUACUGAGACUGUGGAUUUGCCUAUUUCUUUUUGUAUGUCAGCUUUUGCCAUAUGUAUUUUGUAGUUGUGUUGUGAGGAAGAUUCAUGACUUAUCUUGUGGGAGAAUUCUGUAUUUAGCAGAUUUUCGUCUUAAGUUCUGUUUUGCUUAGUAUUGAUGUUAUUACUUUGCUUUUUCAGUUUCAAAAUCAUUUAGUAUAUCUUUUUCCUUUCUUUUAGCCUUUGUGUUUUUAUUUCAGAUGUGCUUUCUUAUGUACUGACUGUGAUCCCCAAAUUCAUAUGUUGAAGUCCCAACUCCAAAUGUAUUUGGAGGUGGGCCUUUCAGAC